rnacentral:rRNA from 1 species
UACGAGGGGGGCAAGCGUUGUUCGGAAUUAUUGGGCGUAAAGGGCGCGUAGGCGGUGCGGUAAGUCUGAUGUGAAAUCGUCCGGGCUCAACUCGGAGUCUGCAUCAGAAACUGCCGUGCUCGAGUGUGGGAGAGGUGAGUGGAAUUCCCGGUGUAGCGGUGAAAUGCGUAGAUAUGCGGAGGAACACCGAUGGCGAAGGCAAUCCCCUGGACCUGUACUGACGCUCAUGCACGAAAGCGUGGGGAGCAAACGAGG